CUUUGGUAAUCUCAAUGAUUUUCUUUAUCAAAUUUUUCACAUAUUGUACAGUUCAUUAAAUUCCGAUCUGCUAUAUAAUGCAACCAUUCACGAUCUUUUUCCAAUGAUUUUUGGUAUUUGCGUUUCCUUUUGUCACUUUCGUAUACUUUAUUUCGAUCUUCUAUUUGAUUUUCAGUUAUUUUAAUUUUUUUGUCCCGCGGUUUAACUCCUUCCAAAAACCAGCUGGAAAGGAAUAGUAAUUCUGAUACUUCUGUUAUCUUAGUUGUAAUGAUAUUUAUACGACUUUGGUCGUAUAUUGGUAUCACGUUGUUAAUAGUUGCAGGUGAGCCAUCCCCAAAGAUAAUCAAAUAUAUGACCUCCUUAUCUAUACAUGCUAUACAUGCUUCUACAUAACCCACUGGUG
rnacentral:lncRNA from 1 species